rnacentral:rRNA from 1 species
UACGUAGGGCGCAAGCGUUGUCCGGAAUUAUUGGGCGUAAAGAGCUCGUAGGCGGCUUGUCACGUCGGAUGUGAAAGCCCGGGGCUUAACUCCGGGUCUGCAUUCGAUACGGGCUGGCUAGAGUGUGGUAGGGGAGAUCGGAAUUCCUGGUGUAGCGGUGAAAUGCAUUGAGAUCGGAAAGAACACCAACGGCGAAAGCACUCUGCUGGGCCGAAACUGACACUGAGAGACGAAAGCUAGGGGAGCAAAUGGG